GAUGAACGCUGGCGGCGUGCCUAAUACAUGCAAGUCGAGCGAACGGACGAGAAGCUUGCUUCUCUGAUGUUAGCGGCAGACGGGUGAGUAACACGUGGAUAACCUACCUAUAAGACUGGGAUAACUUCGGGAAACCGGAGCUAAUACCGGAUGAUAUUUUGAACCGCAUGGUUCAAAAGUGAAAGACGGUCUUGCUGUCACUUAUAGAUGGAUCCGCGCUGCAUUAGCUAGUUGGUAAGGUAACGGCUUACCAAGGCAACGAUGCAUAGCCGACCUGAGAGGGUGAUCGGCCACACUGGAACUGAGACACGGUCCAGACUCCUACGGGAGGCAGCAGUAGGGAAUCUUCCGCAAUGGGCGAAAGCCUGACGGAGCAACGCCGCGUGAGUGAUGAAGGUCUUCGGAUCGUAAAACUCUGUUAUUAGGGAAGAACAUAUGUGUAAGUAACUUUGCACAUCUUGACGGUACCUAAUCAGAAAGCCACGGCUAACUACGUG
rnacentral:rRNA from 1 species